rnacentral:ribozyme from 1 species
UCUUUUUUUCUUUUCUUUUCUUUUCUUUUUUCCCGUCCCGCUCGCCUACCUUUUAAAAUUUAUCUAUUCAUAGAAACGGGA